AGAGUUUGAUCCUGGCUCAGAACGAACGCUGGCGGCGUGCUUAACACAUGCAAGUCGAACGCGAACGCUUCCUUCGGGAAACUAGUAGAGUGGCGCACGGGUGAGUAACGCGUAAGUAAUCUACCCUCGCAUCUGGGAUAACCCACCGAAAGGUGUGCUAAUACCUGAUACGUCUGGAAUUAUACUUUGAAUUUAGAGAAAGGUGGCCUCUUCAUGAAAGCUACUGUGCGGGGAGGAGCUUGCGUACCAUUAGCUAGUUGGUAGGGUAACGGCCUACCAAGGCGAUGAUGGUUAGCGGGUCUGAGAGGAUGAUCCGCCACACUGGAACUGAAACACGGACCAGACUCCUACGGGAGGCAGCAGUGAGGAAUAUUGCGCAAUGGGGGCAACCCUGACGCAGCGACGCCGCGUGGAUGAUGAAGGCCUUCGGGUUGUAAAAUCCUGUCAGAUGGGAAGAAGUGGUAGUUGGUUAAUAUCCAUCUACUUUGACGGUACCAUCAAAGGAAGCACCGGCUAACUCCGUGCCAGCAGCCGCGGUAAUACGGAGGGUGCAAGCGUUGUUCGGAAUUACUGGGCGUAAAGCGCGCGUAGGCGGCUAUUCAAGUCAGAUGUGAAAGCCCGCGGCUCAACCGUGGAAGUGCAUUUGAAACUGGGUGGCUUGAGUACUGGAGGGGGUAGUGGAAUUCCCGGUGUAGAGGUGAAAUUCGUAGAUAUCGGGAGGAACACCGGUGGCGAAGGCGACUACCUGGCCAGAUACUGACGCUGAGUGCGAAGCGUGGGGAGCAAACAGGAUUAGAUACCCUGCUAGUCACCGCGUAACGAUGUCCACUAGUGUGGGAUGAUAAUCGUCUCAUGCCGAGCUACGCAUAGUGACCGCUGGGGAGUACCGUCCAGAAAACUCAAGGAAUUGACGG
rnacentral:rRNA from 1 species